AUCGAUAUCGUCAGUAAUAAUCGUGUCUUGUAGCUGAACAACUUUUUCUAGACUGUUAUGAAAAAUUACAAUAUGAAAAUAUUAUGGGCUGCCUCGCUCGCAAUAUGUAUUUCAAUGACAACAGCCGGAACUUUGAAUAAUACAAUGGAACGAUCAUUUGGAAAUUUGUUAAAUUGUACGAGUCGAGGAUGUGUAAUGGAUAAUUUGGAAUUCGAAUUUAAGUUAAUGUCUAAUAUGAAUAUGAGCGUCGAUCCCUGCGAUAAUUUUUAUGAAUUCGCUUGCGGUAAUUUUGAUAACUUUUCCGCUGAUGCACAAUUAGUUCGCCAAUACUUUGAUGUCCCAUCGAGCACCAUGUAUGAUAAAAUUUACGAUUCAAUACAAAAAAGUGAACCAAUAGAUUCACCGAAGCAAUUUCAUUUCCUGAGAGACUACAUGAUUUUUUGUGAAAAAGUGAACUUUAAUGACAACGAUAAGUGUAAUUAUUUAUGUUUCAUUCAAACACGCAGAUAUAUGCAUAA